GAUGAACGCUGGCGGCGUGCCUAAUACAUGCAAGUCGAGCGAACGGACGAGAAGCUUGCUUCUCUGAUGUUAGCGGCGGACGGGUGAGUAACACGUGGAUAACCUACCUAUAAGACUGGGAUAACUUCGGGAAACCGGAGCUAAUACCGGAUAAUAUUUUGAACCGCAUGGUUCAAAAGUGAAAGACGGUCUUGCUGUCACUUAUAGAUGGUUCCGCGCUGCAUUAGCUAGUUGGUAAGGUAACGGCUUACCAAGGCAACGAUGCAUAGCCGACCUGAGAGGGUGAUCGGCCACACUGGAACUGAGACACGGUCCAGACUCCUACGGGAGGCAGCAGUAGGGAAUCUUCCGCAAUGGGCGAAAGCCUGACGGAGCAACGCCGCGUGAGUGAUGAAGGUCUUCGGAUCGUAAAACUCUGUUAUUAGGGAAGAACAUAUGUGUAAGUAACUGUGCACAUCUUGACGGUACCUAAUCAGAAAGCCACGGCUAACUACGUG
rnacentral:rRNA from 1 species